rnacentral:rRNA from 1 species
CUACGGGUGGCUGCAGUGGGGAAUAUUGGACAAUGGGCGAAAGCCUGAUCCAGCCAUGCCGCGUGUGUGAAGAAGGCCUUCGGGUUGUAAAGCACUUUCAGUGGGGAAGAAAGCCUUGGGGCUAAUACCCUCGAGGAAGGACAUCACUCACAGAAGAAGCACCGGCUGAACUCCGUGCCAGCAGCCGCGGUAAUACGGAGGGUGCGAGCGUUAAUCGGAAUUACUGGGCGUAAAGCGCGCGUAGGCGGUCUGAUAAGCCGGUUGUGAAAGCCCCGGGCUCAACCUGGGAACGGCAUCCGGAACUGUCAGGCUAGAGUGCAGGAGAGGAAGGUAGAAUUCCCGGUGUAGCGGUGAAAUGCGUAGAGAUCGGGAGGAAUACCAGUGGCGAAGGCGGCCUUCUGGACUGACACUGACGCUGAGGUGCGAAAGCGUGGGUAGCAAACAGGAUUAGAUACCCGAGUAGUC